rnacentral:rRNA from 1 species
UACGGAGGGUGCAAGCGUUGUCCGGAAUCACUGGGCGUAAAGGGCGCGUAGGCGGCCUGAUAAGUAGGGGGUGAAAUCUUGCGGCUCAACCGCAAGGCUGCCUCCUAAACUGUCGGGCUAGAGCACGGUAGAGGCAGAUGGAAUUCCCGGUGUAGCGGUGGAAUGCGUAGAGAUCGGGAAGAACAUCGGUGGCGAAGGCGGUCUGCUGGGCCGUUGCUGACGCUGAGGCGCGACAGCGUGGGGAGCAAACAGG